rnacentral:rRNA from 1 species
AUACGUAGGGGGCGAGCGUUGUCCGGAUUUACUGGGCGUAAAGGGUGAGUAGGCGGUUAUAUGUGUCAGAUGUAAAAGGCUAUGGCUUAACCAUAGUUAGCAUUUGAAACUGUAUGACUUGAGUGCAGGAGAGGUAAGUGGCAUUCCUAGUGUAGCGGUGAAAUGCGUAGAUAUUAGGAGGAACACCAGUGGCGAAGGCGACUUACUGGACUGUAACUGACGCUGAGUCACGAAAGCGUGGGUAGCAAACAUGAUUAGAUACCCUGGUAGUCCACGCUGUAAACGAUGAGUGCUAGGUGUUGGCCAGCGAUGGUCAGUGCCGCAGUAAACACAUUAAGCACUCCGCCUGGGGAGUACGGUCGCAAGACUGAAACUCAAAUGAAUUGACGGGG